AUUGAACGCUGGCGGAAUGCUUUACACAUGCAAGUCGAACGGCAGCACGGACUUCGGUCUGGUGGCGAGUGGCGAACGGGUGAGUAAUACAUCGGAACGUGCCCAGUCGUGGGGGAUAACGUAGCGAAAGCUACGCUAAUACCGCAUACGAUCUACGGAUGAAAGCGGGGGAUCGCGAGACCUCGCGCGAUUGGAGCGGCCGAUGGAAGAUUAGGGAGUUGGCGGGGUAAAGGCUCACCAAGCCGACGAUCUGUAGCUGGUCUGAGAGGACGACCAGCCACACUGGGACUGAGACACGGCCCAGACUCCUACGGGAGGCAGCAGUGGGGAAUUUUGGACAAUGGGCGCAAGCCUGAUCCAGCCAUUCCGCGUGCAGGAUGAAGGCCCUCGGGUUGUAAACUGCUUUUGUACGGAACGAAAAGGCUCUGGUUAAUACCCGGGGCUCAUGACGGUACCGUAAGAAUAAGCACCGGCUAACUACGUGCCAGCCGCCGCGGUAA
rnacentral:rRNA from 1 species